UCAUUUUUCAAAAGCGGAGGAAAAGAAACUAACAAGGAUUCCCCUAGUAACGGCGAGUGAAGCGGGAAGAGCUCAAAUUUGAAAUCUGGCGGUCUAAGGCCGUCCGAGUUGUAAUCUAGAGAGGUGUUUUCCGUGCCGGACCGUGUACAAGUCCCUUGGAACAGGGCGUCAUAGAGGGUGAGAAUCCCGUCCAUGACACGGACUACCGGUGCUCUGUGAUACACCUUCAAAGAGUCGAGUUGUUUGGGAAUGCAGCUCAAAAUGGGUGGUAAAUUCCAUCUAAAGCUAAAUACAGGCGAGAGACCGAUAGCGAACAAGUACCGUGAGGGAAAGAUGAAAAGAACUUUGGAAAGAGAGUUAAACAGUACGUGAAAUUGUUGAAAGGGAAACGCUUGAAGUCAGUCGCGUCUGCCGGGACUCAGCCUUGCUUCUGCUUGGUGCACUUCUCGGUGGAUGGGCCAGCAUCGAUUUUGAUUGCCGGAAAAGGGCGGGAGGAAUGUGGCAGCUUUUGCUGUGUUAUAGCCUUCUGUCGUACACGGUGGUUGGGAUCGAGGACUGCAGCACGCCUUUGGUCGGGGUUCGCCCACGCCACGUGCUUAGGAUGCUGGCGUAAUGGCUUUAAACGACCCGUCUUGAACACGGGGAACA
rnacentral:rRNA from 1 species